rnacentral:rRNA from 1 species
GUGACGAAGCGACGCCGCGUGAGCGAAGAAGGCCUUAGGGUUGUAAAGCUCUGUCGAGGGUUAUGAAAUAUAAAUGGGAUAAUACCUCAUUUAUUUGACAAAAGCCCAAGAGGAAGUCACGGCUAACUCUGUGCCAGCAGCCGCGGUAAUACAGAGGCGGCAAGCGUUGUUCGGAAUUAUUGGGCGUAAAGAGCACGUAGGCGGCCUUGCAAGUCAGUUGUGAAAGCCUUCCGCUUAACGGAAGAACGGCAUCUGAUACUACAGGGCUUGAGUACGGGAGGGGAGAGUGGAACUUCUGGUGGAGCGGUGAAAUGCGUAGAUAUCAGAAGGAACGCCGGCGGCGAAAGCGACUCUCUGGUCCGAAACUGACGCUGAGUGUGCGAAAGCUAGGGGAGCAAACGGGAUUAGAUACCCCGGUAGUCCUAGCCGUAAACGAU